rnacentral:rRNA from 1 species
GACGAACGCUGGCGGCGUGCCUAAUACAUGCAAGUAGAACGCCGAAGAGAGGAGCUUGCUCUUCUUGGAUGAGUUGCGAACGGGUGAGUAACGCGUAGGUAACCUGCCUUGUAGCGGGGGAUAACUAUUGGAAACGAUAGCUAAUACCGCAUAACAAUGGAUGACGCAUGUCAUUUAUUUGAAAGGGGCAAUUGCUCCACUACAAGAUGGACCUGCGUUGUAUUAGCUAGUAGGUGAGGUAAUGGCUCACCUAGGCGACGAUACAUAGCCGACCUGAGAGGGUGAUCGGCCACACUGGGACUGAGACACGGCCCAGACUCCUACGGGAGGCAGCAGUAGGGAAUCUUCGGCAAUGGGGGCAACCCUGACCGAGCAACGCCGCGUGAGUGAAGAAGGUUUUCGGAUCGUAAAGCUCUGUUGUAAGUCAAGAACGGGUGUGAGAGUGGAAAGUUCACACUGUGACGGUAGCUUACCAGAAAGGGACGGCUAACUACGU